rnacentral:rRNA from 1 species
AUUACUCCUACGGGAGGCAGCAGGAGCGAAAAUUGCCCAAUCCCGACACGGGGAGGCAGUGACGAGAAAUAACAACUCUUGGUUAUUCUAAGAAGUGUAAUGAGGAUAAUUUAAAACCCUUACCGAAAGCAAUUGGAGGGCAAGUCUGGUGCCAGCAGCCGCGGUAAUAAU